CAAAAUGAGAUGCUGCCACAUCACUCCACUUAGGCACUUUUUAAAACUGAUCGAUGAGGCUUUUUUAAUAACUUCAUUAUGGUGACAACAGUUUUUUGUAUAUUCAACACAAUUGUCAAAGAAAGAAUCGUUGGCGUUGAAGAACGUCUGAUUAGAGAUCAAACCUUCACCUACUAACAGCAAAGUUACCAUCUAGUCAAGAUGAUUUACUGCAGACUCAACCUAUUCAUCUGAAUAUCAAACAAUAUCCCUCAGAUUCUUCUCCUUGUGUUGGAAGAACUUUUCUUUGUGUCAAGUGUUUUACAAGCUCCUGUGGACUUUUAAUAUUAGAACAGUUUUGUCUUAGUUCUUUUAUUUUGAAUUUCUCUGUUAAUGUUAAUGAAAAAUUAAACUGGAGGUUGAGGUACUAAGUGGUCAGUAUAUGGUCACUAUGGCUACUCUGAUUGGUCAUUCUUUUCAGUUUAUUCAAAUUUAGCUUUUUCAUUGGCUAAAUAUGUCUGGUCAUUGUUUUAUCUUAUGAUGUAAUGUUUUCAGUAAGUUUUUAUGUCUGUAAAACUCUGCAUUGAGUAGUAAAGGAAAGAUGAAGCAAAA